rnacentral:rRNA from 1 species
UACGGAGGGUGCGAGCGUUGUCCGGAAUUAUUGGGCGUAAAGGGCUCGUAGGCGGUUUGUCACGUCGGGAGUGAAAACUCAGGGCUCAACCCUGAGCGUGCUUCCGAUACGGGCAGACUAGAGGUAUGCAGGGGAGAACGGAAUUCCUGGUGUAGCGGUGGAAUGCGCAGAGUAUCAGGAGGAACACCGGUGGCGAAGGCGGUUCUCUGGGCAUUACCUGACGCUGAGGAGCGAAAGCAUGGGGAGCGAACAGG